CUGCUUUGGCUGCAUAUAUACGAAAAUUGGAACAAAACAGAGAAGAUUAGCAUGGCCCCUGUAAAAAAAAUAAUUAAUUAAUUAAUGCUUUACCAGCUAUCU
rnacentral:snRNA from 1 species